UUUGUAUAAUGGGUCAGCGACUUAUAUUCUGUAGCAAGGUUAACCGUAUAGGGGAGCCGAAGGGAAACCGAGUCUUAAUUGGGCGUUAAGUUGCAGGGUAUAGACCCGAAACCCGGUGAUCUAGCCAUGGGCAGGUUGAAGGUUGGGUAACACUAACUGGAGGACCGAACCGACUAAUGUUGAAAAAUUAGCGGAUGACCUGUGGCUGGGGGUGAAAGGCCAAUCAAACCGGGAGAUAGCUGGUUCUCCCCGAAAGCUAUUUAGGUAGCGCCUCGUGAAUUCAUCUCCGGGGGUAGAGCACUGUUUCGGCUAGGGGGCCAUCCCGGCUUACCAACCCGAUGCAAACUGCGAAUACCGGAGAAUGUUAUCACGGGAGACACACGGCGGGUGCUAACGUCCGUCGUGAAGAGGGAAACAACCCAGACCGCCAGCUAAGGUCCCAAAGUCAUGGUUAAGUGGGAAACGAUGUGGGAAGGCCCAGACAGCCAGGAUGUUGGCUUAGAAGCAGCCAUCAUUUAAAGAAAGCGUAAUAGCUCACUGGUCGAGUCGGCCUGCGCG
rnacentral:rRNA from 1 species